rnacentral:piRNA from 1 species
UCCGAAUUCACAGUCUCCUGUGAGACUCAA